GCCGUCGUCGACCAGCGGCAGGUCACCUCCGCUGUUUAAGGAAUGAUGUCUGUGAACGGGAGGAACCGGGGGUUCGAUUCCCUCCGGCGGCA